GGGGCGCGGGCAACUCGCGGCUCUUCCCGGUGACAGCCGCCGUACGGGCCGCCACGGGCUGAGAGCGUUCUUCUCUUCAGUUAGGAAGCUGAUUUAAAAGCACUUUGUUGCCACAGAGUUGCUUUCUUGCUUUUCAGCAGCAAGUUUGGGUUUGUUGUUGGCCAACUUACUGCCUCCAGAGCAAGGCUGUACCAAGUCAUUUUGAACAGCCGUAGGAUCUGAUGCUUGUGUGUUACUCUAGGCAUAGCAGAGCGCAUCAGACCUACCUCAGCUUUUUGGGAGCUGUGCAUUACGGGGCUCUGCUCCCCUCUUGUGGCCGAUGUUAUAUUUACAAGAUAGAAAGUAUUGCUCACGUUUGUAUCACUGAGGAAAGGUUAUGUGCCUGAGAAGUCCAUGUCAGCACUCUCAAACAGGACGGGCUGUGCACUGCAGAGGAGAUUGCACACCUGAAAAACCUUCUACUGUCCCUACAUUUCGCUGUUCUACAGGCAACUGCCGGGCAUGUGCAUGACUUAUGGAGCUGUUCAGCAAAUGCUGAUGUCUGUAGAAGUGUAAGAUGAAGUUUCCACCAGUUUCAGAAAGGAUUCAUACAGCUUUCAAAAAUAUCAUUUAAAAUCAUCACAGUAGAUACUAAGGAAGGAAAUAAAAUAAGCCUACACGUCAGCCUGUGAUUCACAUUGCCCUUUGAAGUUCUGCAUGUAGAUUCUUGUCUUUUUCUUAGAGCAAACUACUCAAGUUCAUGUGCUUCUUUCUUCUUAGAGAUCUAAAUUCAGUCAUAGUUUUGUUUUAAAGUAAAACUUAUAUCAGGCCAUCUAGUGCUGUGGUUGUCCUUCAGCUUGCUUCAGCUUUUUGUCUGAGUUUCUAAAAAGGCAAAAGAUAGGGAGGUUAUUUUGAAAAUCUUCAUAUUUUUUCUGAAAAUCCCGUUUUGCCAAUCUGUGCAGAAGUGCCUCAGGCACUCAAAUGAAGAAAGAUAAAGCUUUCACAUGGUUACAUUCUGUUGGGGCAUGCAUGCUUAAAACUGUCUUAUUUGUGUAAUGGCCAUAGAAACAGCCCUACAAAAGGAAUUCAGAGUGUAGAGAGAAGAGCCUGGGGCAAUUGUUGGGAUCAUGAAAAGCUGCCUGAAAGAAGCAGCCUGAGGUGACUGCAAUGAAUGAUACAGUUUUGAAGCCUGACAAAACCCUUAAAAGAUUUGGAAAGGACAGCUUAAUAUAGCUGAGUGCAAAUAAAGAGUGAGGGGCUGUAAAGGUGAAAACAAAACAAGAAACCAAAACAAAAAAAGCCCAGUGUGUGGUGGGAGUUACUACUCAGAGCUCUAUUAGUGACUCAUCUAGAACGAUCUUAUUUACUCUGCUGUGAUUCUCUGAAGUUAAACUAGCAUUUCCUGAACAUCAGAUACUUCCGUUGCUCUCUCAGUGGCAGCUUAGUUACUUAGGCCCAGUCAUUUCUGAAAUGCUGUUCUGAUUGUUUCACAUGACAAAUGGUUGACAACAUUUUGUGGGGUGGUUUUUGCUUUUUGUUUCAAGUUUCUGCUUUUAUGACUUGUUUGAAAAUACCUUCAGCAUUCUCUGCAAGAAUGUCCUGUAGCAUCUUCUCCAGUGCUUGUCCAUACUCUUGAUACUCUCUUUCUGUUAUCUUGACACCAAUUUCAAAAGGAACGUUAAACUAUAAAAACAUUAAAGAAGUUUAACAGAUGAUUUUUGGACAAGGACACUAGAAGAUAAUUUUAUUCGUAGGUGUGAUGAUAAGCAAGAGGUAGAAAAAUGUUAUCCAUUCAUUUAAUAAUGCUGAGACAUGUAGUGAUCAUCUGAUAAACAUAGUACAUGGCUACUGUAGAGACUGAACUGCACGAUAAACUGGAGGAGAGAAAACUAGAAGAAACUUGCUUUAUUAAAUGUUAGUUCUGAAAUGUAAGUGAAUCCUUAACAGGAGAUCAUGAUCUGCCUUUGUGCAUAUACUUUUAAAGUACUUCAUGCUAUCAGUGCUGGCAGUUUCCAUGUGUCUUUUUCUACAUACCCUUCAAGUUAAAUGACUGCGGCUCUCAUUUGUACACCUGUGGCAGAAAUUCUAUUCCCACUCCAACAAAAUCAUUUGAACUUGUAUGUGAGCAGGAGUGAAAAAUACACACCUUGAUAUCAACACUGUUAUUGUCAUCUUCUCCCUCUGUUUCAUCUGUAUCCCAAAAGCUUUCUGUGCCUCGGCGAUGUAAUCUUGCUGUUGGUUUUCUUGUAUCCUUUUGUUGCUAGAAAGCAAGCAAAAUAGCAUCUGUAUAACAUUCCCAUAAUCAAAGUGGUCUGUAGCAGGGAAAAUAGAACUCAUAAUUAAUGCAGAUGCAGCAAAUUAGUUAGAGCCAUUGCUGGCUGCUUUUAAAGUUACAAUUAGUUAAAGCUAUCAGUGGCUUUUAAAGUUAUGUGGAUGUGUGGGUAUACAGUAACUGUACUACUAUUCUGCAUUCACUUUAUCAGCAGUUUGUUUAAGGGUUCCUUAUGGAACAGCCACCUUCCAAUUCAUUUUCAAAAUGCAUGUUAACGACUUAUUUAAACAGCUGCUUUUUUUUUUUUUUUUUUUUUUUUUUGUUCAGUUGGUUGGUUUGUUUCUAAGAUUAGUAAUUAUAUUUUCUCAUGUGAAUGUUUUGUUACAGUAAUUCUCUGGAAUCCCUUCUUCCUCUUCCAGAGACAUUAUCUUCAAAACCUCUGAACACUGUAAAGAAUUUGGCUUUAAGGAAUUAUAGAGGAAGACAAUUUCAAAAAAGCAUUAUUCUGACUUUUUACCUGUAUGUUUUUAUAUGUGGGGCUUAAAAAACUAGAGCCAGCCAGAGCAGUUUCUGUCCCAAGGAUGCUGAGAAGGAGAAUUCCUAGCAGAAUAACUCUGAGAAACAUGGUUGUCUUCUUUAGGCAGUGCUUCAAACUGAAAACACAAGUUAAAAAUUAAACAUAUUUUCUAAUCUGUGUAUUUGGUUGAAUCCCAAGCCAGUGAAAAUAGUUCUCCUGAUUAGAAUGAUGUGCAAUUGUUUCUCCAAACAAAUAUAGAAAGAAAGCACAAUUGUUGCAUGCAGAAAGGCAAUAUAUCCUGUCAAAAGAGAUUACUUACUGUGUUUUCUUCUAUAACUGAGAUGUAAUGACUGGACCAGACAGAGAGAAAUUACAGAGGAAAACUGGCAAAAGCUUAGAAAUGCUCUGAAACUUCACCAGGUUACCUUUGUUGCUUCACCAAACUGCUGCUUUCUGAAGCACCUUAUAUAGGGAGUGGGAUAUUUGUUCUGUGCGGUGAUAUUUCUGGAAAUGCAGUCUGACGUGUAUUUAGAUUCCUUGGAAACGUGGUGUGCUUGUAAGAUAACAGUUGACAAAAACAUGAAAACUGCAUACAUCUGCUGCUGAGUUCCUUUCUACGUAUUAUGAAAUUGUGUGGGCAAUUGUGUGUUUCUUUUGUUUUUCUGCUGUGGCAUAACAUCAUUCCUUCUAAAAACUAGUAGCUGUAAUAGCUAUGUUUUGGAAAGUCCUGAGCCCUUUUACCAUUAUUUGGCGUGGUGUAACAGAAAAGAAGCAGAACUCCAUUCCUGGCCUGCAGUAACAACCAUGUUUCUUGUGUUUGCCCCUAAGUGUGCUUCCUCUCAUCUACAUUCUCUCCUGGGUUCUGUUCUAUCAGAUUUUGUUGUCCUUUGCUGAAGGACCGAAAACAAAGAUGUUACCUAGAAACAUCAUCUCUCUUACUUUGAAAAUGAAAUACUGCAUUUUGAAGAUGUCAGUGAAUACUUGUAGCAAUGCCUGAGGCUCUAGAAAACAUCCUGUGAGGAUUGUCUUCAAACCUGAGGAAUAAUAGGAAUGAAGUAGGAACACACAGUAAAGGAUGACAAAUUUACCUUCUGUUGCUUGUGUUCCAGCUAGACUUGAAUGAUGUGGCUGAUCUGUGGGAUUUAUUCUAUGCUACAGAUCACAAACCUUCAGUUGUAGGAUUGAGGAAGGCAUGGGAAAUGAGAAGGAAUUUAGUUGAGUCAGAUUUUCUGUUGGAGAAAAUGUAACUUGGAGCAUCGCUACAUAGAGUGACCAUAGUAACUGUGCUCUGGCCAAAGAAGACAGUCUCUUUAGCACAUCUGCAGGUUUUGAAACUAGUUUUUUUCUGGGGAUGCAGUUCCAUGUUGUUCUCUUUCACAGAUUCCACAUCUCACAUUACUGCUUCCCAGCUGAUUUUUUCAAACACUGCAGCUGUGUUUCAAAUCAGAUUUGUGUAAUGAUCCAAUUGUUAAAAAGAAAAUUUCUGAAACAUGUCCAUAGUAUCAGCUGACUGGGUAGCACCAAGAAAGCUGGUAACUGCACUAGGGCAGCUGAGAACAAUCAGAGGCAAUGGAUCAAAUCCCUUCUGCAACAAAGUUAGGUUAAGAAGUUCUUAUAGAGUUAGAUCUCCGUCUUGACUUUUGUCUGACAGCCUGCUGGCAGAGAACACUGAGGAGCACAAAGAAAGUAGGCAGUGAUGAACCACUGGAGAGCUUCUGGGUCCUAACAGAAGCCCCUUGCAUUUUCAUGGUAUACUGUGGAUUCUGGCCAGAAUAGGCAUUUAUUAGCUCUUACAAAGCUAAAUACUAUACAUGAGAGCCACACUAAGGCAUCUGUCAAGGCAGACUAUAGAAAACCUCAAUAAAAAACCCCUGUGAAAGAUUACCAAAUACAGCAUACCAGGCUUUAACCAAUAAGACUUUAUUUUGUUGUCUAAACAAAAACCUGAGGUACAGUAUAGAAUUGUGGCUAAAAAAAAGUCUUCAAAUUGUAUUUUCAUUUGUUGAUGUUUGUUAAAUAAACAAGUUUGAGAUUACUGUAAAGCAAAAUACA